rnacentral:lncRNA from 1 species
UGACGCAGUUUCGUUUCGACUGUCGUACGAAUAACAUCGCGUUAUAAUUGCUCCGUAAUUAUUUCAAAACGAUCCUGGUCGGACACGGGAUGAUCCGGGACGAACGAGAGAUUUUCGAGAGAGAUUAGAAGUUGGAGCGAUGCUUCUGGAGUUCGGGACCGAUCCCCUUCGGAACCGGCCCUGUCGAUGUCGAUACGCCACGCUUCAUCCCCCGCGGAUAAUCGUUCUUGCACGGCCGGAUAAAACCGGACGCGCGGCUACCGAAUCCAUCGAUCGGCCCGAAUCUCUAACGAUCGAUUAAAAAAAAACAAAAUCGAUAUCGAGUCGAUCUGUCGAAUAAUAAUAACCGAAUAAUUCCCUUGCUACAAACAAUUCACGAUCAAUCCUCUCGAUCGUCUUUUCUCCCCGAUUCACUCUCCCCUUCCCCCUAAAACUAUCCCACUUUUCCAUUAACCUUCUCCUUAGCACAACUUGGUGUGACUCGUACAAUUUUCCCCAGAUCCAGAUCGAGCGUUGGGCACAGAAGUCUGUGGAAGCGGGCUAAGGAUUCACUUUCUCGGCCCUCGGAGUCGGGGGAAAUAAAUGAUGAGCUUGACAGGUCCGCUCGUAACAGAAGAGGAGGAGGAGGAGGAGGAGAAGGAAGAAGGGACGAAAGAGGAGAGGGAAGGCGAGAAGGAAGGGAGGAGGAGGAGAAGGAGGAAGAGAAGGAUUUCUCCCUGGAAACAACGGAAUCGAGGACCAGAGCAAACUCGGCGUCCAUGUUCCACCACCUUGAGACGAGGAGACUUCCGUGCCCUUCGGGUUGCGCGAAAUAGGAUCCAUUUCGCGAUUUCCUGCGAACACGAUCCACGUAGUAGAAAGCAGAGGCUGGGGGAAGAGGCUGGAGGAGGAGGAGGAGGAGGAGGAUCGAGCGUAUGGAAUACAAUGGCGCGGAUCGUGGCUGCCGCUUAUGCCCUUCGGUUAUGGCGAACGCACGGAUUGUUAGAAACCGUCGUCGCCCGCUAGGUGCAGCCGAAGGUUCAGCUGGAACCGGGCCAGCGGCAAUUCCGGAUGGAAAUCUCAUUCCGAGGCGGAUAUCUUCGUUGCGUCGAGAUUGUAUCGACCACGGUAGACAAGGACUAAGGUCGCGUCCGACUCCUACAGAUAUCGUUUCAUACAGGGUGUCCAAGAAGGAAUAAUUCAAUUUUAAUUUCACGUUUCAAAAAGAUCGAUCCAAAUCAAACAUUUCAUACGUAUAGAUUUUCA